ACUUUCAGGACUGCAGGGGAAAGGGUGGACACCCAGCCUCCCGCCAGGUCAGAGCAGAGGCUAAAAAUGGCCCAGGGGAGACUGCUGGAGUUGCAUGGAGUUCGGGAGCCUAGGAGGGGUCUGAAAAUAACUGUCAAAAAGUUUGAAGGGAGGAUACAAAAAUACAUCAGUUUGCAAACCAGAAGAAGGUCCUCACCAGAAACCAACUAUGCUGGCACCCUGAUCUUGGACUUCUAGCCUCCAGAACUGUGAGAAAUAAAUGUGUGUUUAUAAACCAGUCAGUCAGUCUAUGGUGCUUUAUUAUAGCAUCUGGAACGAGCUAAGACAGCUGCUAAGUAGCAUUCCAUUUGACAAGGAAGACUUACCAUUCACACUACUUCUGAGUUCAAUGAAAGAGAGGCUCGGUUCCUUACCUGUAAAAUAGAGAUCAUAUAGAGAUGUCGGGAAGAUUUAA
rnacentral:lncRNA from 1 species